GACGAACGCUGGCGGCGUGCUUAACACAUGCAAGUCGAACGGAAAGGCCCUGCUUUUGUGGGGUGCUCGAGUGGCGAACGGGUGAGUAACACGUGAGUAACCUGCCCUUGACUUUGGGAUAACUUCAGGAAACUGGGGCUAAUACCGGAUAGGAGCUCCUGCUGCAUGGUGGGGGUUGGAAAGUUUCGGCGGUUGGGGAUGGACUCGCGGCUUAUCAGCUUGUUGGUGGGGUAGUGGCUUACCAAGGCUUUGACGGGUAGCCGGCCUGAGAGGGUGACCGGCCAAAUUGGGACUGAGAUACGGCCCAGACUCCUACGGGAGGCAGCAGGGGGGAAUAUUGCACAAUGGGAGGAAGCCUGAUGCAGCAACGCCGCGUGCGGGAUGACGGCCUUCGGGUUGUAAACCGCUUUCGCCUGUGACGAAGCGUGAGUGACGGUAAUGGGUAAAGAAGCACCGGCUAACUACGUG
rnacentral:rRNA from 1 species